rnacentral:ncRNA from 2 species
UUAGAUCAUUAGGGGUGCCUUAAAAAAAACGGGCUGAGAUCAUACCCAUAAUACCUGAUCCAGGUAAUGCCGGCGAAGGGAAAUGAGUAACCAAUACA